UACAGAGGUCUCAACCGUUGUUCGGAAUUACUGGGCGUACAGGGCUCGUAGGCGGCCAACUAAGUCAGACGUGAAAUCCCUCAGCUUAACUGGGGAACUGCGUCUGAUACUGGAUGGCUUGGAUCCGGGAGAGGGAUGCGGAAUUCCAGGUGUAGCGGUGAAAUGCGUAGAUAUCUGGAGGAACACCGGUGGCGAAGGCGGCAUCCUGGACCGGUAUUGACGCUGAGGAGCGAAAGCCAGGGGAGCAAACGGG
rnacentral:rRNA from 1 species